rnacentral:piRNA from 1 species
AGGGCUGGAAAGAUGGCUCAGAGGUUAAGA